UUUAUUUGUUUAUUAUUAUCAUUGUAUGAUUCUCAUUUUAUUUUAACUUUUACCUAGUAACUGUAAAUCGAAACUUUAGGUUAAAUUUUACGUUUAAAUAUAAAUACAAUAUUCCCUUCAAAUGAAAACAAGUGAAUAGUGAGCGGGGACGUUGACCCCUAACUGCUGCAAGGCUAUCUCUUCCCAUGCCGCUGCUAUCUCUCCAACCACCACCUUUCUUUCAUUUUUUUUCUCAUCGAACUAUAGCGAAUCAAGACACAUCGUCACUGCCACCACAUUCAGAAUUUUCAGAUCCACUUGUCGUCUUGUCCAUAACCUUCCACAAGUUGCUACCACGGGAGUUCACCGCCACCACCACCGCUCCAGCGUCCUCUUAUCUCUCAACUUUCAAGCUUAUCAACUCACCGCCGACAUUGAUCCGCCACCUCGCCAAGCCUUCAGGCUCCCGGAAGCUACAACAUCGCCAAGCCUCCACCGCACCAACAGCCACAAAAUUUCCCGUUGCUUGAUGCUCGCUCCUCUGCUCCGCAGAACCAGUAUCAUGACACCAUCACCAACCAUCGGCGUUCUCCAGCUAUGGCAAGCCGGCAAUCUUUCAUGAUUUUGUUUUUACCUCUUAUUACUUACAACGGCUGUUGAGUUAGGGCUUGGGAUAUUUUCCUCCAGUUAAGUUAGGCAUUUUGAAAUUUCUAUUGGUUGGCUACGUUUAGCUUGUGCAACUCCAGACAUAUGUAUGAUUAUAAGUUUAGUUGAAUUAGAUGCCGUAUUAUAUUU
rnacentral:lncRNA from 1 species